CAUAAUCGAGGUAACCUUUGCUAAAUAGUAGAUGGCAUUAAGCUACAUAAUUACUCGAAUAUAUGAUCAAAAAGAUGACACCCAUCAAUGCAUUAUAUAAAUAGAGAACAAAUCAUACAGACCACAUUCAACAUUAGUCGAUAAAGCUGAAAGCAGUAUGAAGUUGUUAGUUGUAGUAUGUGCUCUAGUAGCAGUAACAUGGGUUGGUAGAUCAGAAGGAUAUGUAUGUCAUCCCUGUACACCAGAAAGGGAAAGUCGGUGUCCUACAUUACGAGCUGAUUGUGAAACAGUUUCUGAUAUCUGCGGGUGUUGUAAAAGAUGUGCUCUUAAAGAAGACGAGAGAUGUGGUAGUGCUUACGAUGCGAGAUGUGAAACUGGUUUGAAAUGUGUGACAUCACCAAACGGGGGGAAUCUAAGGAUUUCACCUUGGAUUAGUCGAGGAAUUUGUCGCAGAGUCUAACCGUAAAAACUGGGAUACGAGAAAAAUAAAUUGUAUUAAAUAAAACAAAAGAAAAUGUU